CUAGCGACAGGCCUAACACAUGCAAGUCGAGGGGCAGCACAAGGAGCAAUCUGAGGUGGCGACCGGCGCACGGUGAGUAACACGUAUGCAACCUGCCUGUAAGCGGGGAAUAACCCGUUGAAAGACGGACUAAUACCGCAUAAUACUAAAUUACUGCAUGGUAAUUUAUUUAAACAUUUAUGGCUUACAGAUGGGCAUGCGCAUGAUUAGCUAGUUGGAGAGGUAACGGCUCCCCAAGGCAACGAUCAUUAGGGGUUCUGAGAGGAAGGUCCCCCACACUGGUACUGAGACACGGACCAGACUCCUACGGGAGGCAGCAGUGAGGAAUAUUGGUCAAUGGACGAGAGUCUGAACCAGCCAAGUCGCGUGCAGGAAGAAUGUUCCCUAUGGAUUGUAAACUGCUUUUGCAGGGGAAUAAAGUGCAUCACGUGUGAUGUUUUGUAUGUACUCUGCGAAUAAGGAUCGGCUAACUCCGUGCCAGCCGCUGC
rnacentral:rRNA from 1 species